rfam:Gossypium hirsutum cultivar TM-1 chromosome 24, whole genome shotgun sequence
UAUUAAAAAUUUCAUCCAUUUGUACUCUUAAAAACUAGUGUGAUUGACGGAAUAACCAAAUAGUAACAUAUGCUGUGCCACAUGUACCUCAUGUUGAUGUAGAGGGAUCAGUUUUAAUCAGUAGAAAUGGAUACAAGGGCUAAUU